rnacentral:rRNA from 1 species
UACGGAGGGAGCUAGCGUUGUUCGGAAUUACUGGGCGUAAAGCGCGCGUAGGCGGCUUUGUAAGUUAGAGGUGAAAGCCCGGAGCUCAACUCCGGAACUGCCUUUAAAACUGCAUCGCUUGAAUCCAGGAGAGGUGAGUGGAAUUCCGAGUGUAGAGGUGAAAUUCGUAGAUAUCAGGAGGAACACCUAUAGCGAAGGCAGCUUGCUGGGACGUUACUGACGCUAAGGCGCGAAAGCGUGGGGAGCGAACAGG